rnacentral:RNase_P_RNA from 1 species
CGGGCCGGACAGGCAGUCGCCGCGUAAGCCGCAAGGCAUACGGGGAGGAAAGUCCGGGCUGCACAGGGCGGGAUGCCGGCUAACGGCCGGGCGCGGCAACGCGACGGAAAGUGGAACAGAAAGCUAAACCGCCGAUGGCCGCCUAAGGGCGGUACAGGCAAGGGUGAAAAGGUGCGGUAAGGGCGCACCGUGCGCUUGGCAACAAGUCGCAGCAGGCCAAACCCCAUCCGCAGCAAGACCAAACAGAACGCAUAGACGCUGCCCGCCGAGCGUUCGGGUAGGUUGCUGGAGCGCGUCAGCAAUGGCGCGCCUAGAGGAAUGACUGUCCGACGACAGAACCCGGCUUAUCGUCCGACCCGUAUG